rnacentral:rRNA from 1 species
GACGAACGCUGGCGGCGUGCUUAACACAUGCAAGUCGAGCGGUAAGGCCCUUUCGGGGGUACACGAGCGGCGAACGGGUGAGUAACACGUGGGUGACCUGCCCUCAGCUCUGGGAUAAGCCCGGGAAACUGGGUCUAAUACCGGAUAUGACUCCAUGACGCAUGUUGUGGGGUGGAAAGCCUUGUGCGGCUGAGGAUGGGCCCGCGGCCUAUCAGCUUGUUGGUGGGGUGAUGGCCACCAAGGCGACGACGGGUAGCCGGCCUGAGAGGGCGACCGGCCACACUGGGACUGAGAUACGGCCCAGACUCCUACGGGAGGCAGCAGUGGGGAAUCUUGCGCAAUGGGCGAAAGCCUGACGCAGCGACGCCGCGUGAGGGAUGACGGCCUCGG